GUAGACACCUCUGGGAGCUGCAACAAUUCAACAUCCAAUGAAGCCACAUCGCUAACAAUCUCCAUUCUCAUCAAAAACCAAAUGUAUCGAUCAAAUCGGGGAUUAGGUUUUCAAUGCGUUUGUAGAGAAACCGCGUGCAGAUUAGAAUUCAACAUCCAAUGAAGCCACAUCGCUAACAAUCUCCAUUCUCAUCAAAAACCAAAUGUAUCGAUCAAAUCGGGGAUUAGGUUUUCAAUGCGUUUGUAGAGAAACCGCGUGCAGAUUAGAUUCUAUGUCGGAAAGGAAUAAAUGCGAUUGAUUGUUAUUACAGCUGUGGAAUCAGCGGAACCCUAGAUCUUAUUAAAUCAACAAAUUUAAGAUCAAUUCUCAAUUUCGAUCGGUAACAAAAUGAAACAACGAUGAUGAUGGAGAAAGAUUGGGAUGGAGAAAGAAAUGGGAAUGGAUGAGUUUAUGGGAAUUUUUUGCAGAGAUCCACACGAUUUUGGAGGGAGAAAAACGAAUAAUAGUGGAUACACUGAAAAAAUACUGAAUUUUUUUUUUACUUUACUUAUG
rnacentral:lncRNA from 1 species